rnacentral:lncRNA from 1 species
GACAUUUUCCAUCAAUUUUUUACAAAGCCUGAGCAUUUGAAUAGUGCUUCACUGUUUACAGAGCAAUUUCCCUUUCUCACAACCAUCCUCAUUUUACAGGUGAAGGAUCUAAAACCUGAAAAGAGGCCAAAUGAUUCCUCAAAACCACGCAAGUACGAAGUAGCAGAGCGGAUCUCAAAUCCAGAGCACUGCGUGUUUUGAAAUAUACAAAUAGUGGGAAACGAAAUCUUUGUUCUGGAUGCAGUUAUAAUUUGGAAAGCGAGGAAAUAAAUUAUAACAAGGGGAAAAAACAGCACUCCACGAAGAGGCCUUGGCUAGCUGCACAUCUCCCUACAUGGGUAUGUCAAGAUCACCAACUCUGCUUACAGCAGUUCCCAGAUGAAACUCUUCAUAAUUUCAGAUGCACCUUUAAUACCAGUGAAGGUUUACCUCCAGGCCCACAGUCUGGGUCUUUCCAGAGACACCCACAGCAAGAUGUCACCUGCUUUUUGAUGUCAUCAGAGUCAAACACAAACACCCACCACUGUGGUUUCCAUGUCUAAUUCGCAAAUGGCUUUAACUUUGAGCUGGCCCACAAUGUUGUAUUAACCCCACUCAGGUAUCAUCUUUCUCCGUGGGUGAACCCAUAGUGACCUUUCCUUCUGAUUCUUCUUUUACUCUAAGGGCAUGAUUUUGGCAAACUGUCUAUAUGUACACUGGAAACAACUUCAACUUGCUUUUAUGUUGAUUUCACUUCUCCACUUUCAAUGCAGAAAGCUAAUCAGCAAUGCCCUAGGUUACUAAGAGAGGACAAUUCUUUCUUAGCCCAUUGAAUUAUGAGCAUUUUCUUGGAAAUGCAGCAAAAUGUGUUCUGACAGAUGCCUUUGGGUCCCUUGGGUUCUUUGCUAAGACAGCUAUAGAGAGAGGGCUCAAUAAGGUGGGGCCUGUGAUGGGACAUUGUUUUUACUGCACUGGUGAUAGAACAAAAGUCAGACAGGGCACAACACACACUGAUACAACCAAUCACCCAGUCACACUGCAGCCUUAGGAAACCCAUGAGCUUGUGGCAGCAGGCAAACUUGCUUCAGAGUUCCAAGAAUCCAAAUGUUCCUGGUGUGUCUGUUGUCUUGCGAUAUAGACUGAGAUCACAGGAUUGAAGAUACGACCAGAGUCAUGCUGUUGAAAGAGACUGGCUGAGUAGUGAUGAAAAAUAAACUUGGUCAAUC